rnacentral:snoRNA from 1 species
AAGACUCUACUUUCAGGGAUCAUUUCUAUAGUUCUGUACUAGAGAAGUUACUCUGAGUAGAGCCCGAAGAACAUGAGGAGACCUACGUUCCGUCCUGAGUGUGAAGCCNGCUCUAGGGGCUGCUUUCCUGCAGCUGCCUCUUGCCAUUGAGGAUCGAUCGUUCUUCUCUCCCUUUGGGAGAGUGAGANGGAAGGGAAAAAGA